UACAGAGGGUGCGAGCGUUAAUCGGAAUUACUGGGCGUAAAGCGUGCGUAGGCGGUUGGCAAAGUCAGCUGUGAAAGCCCCGGGCUCAACCUGGGAACUGCAUUCGAGACUGCAUUGCUAGAGUAUGGGAGAGGGAAGUGGAAUUUCCGGUGUAGCGGUGAAAUGCGUAGAUAUCGGAAGGAACAUCAGUGGCGAAAGCGACUUCCUGGACCAAUACUGACGCUCAUGUGCGAAAGCGUGGGGAGCAAACAGG
rnacentral:rRNA from 1 species